UCCCUACGGGGCGCAGCAGUGGGGGAUAUUGCACAAUGGGGGGAACCCUGAUGCAGCGACGCCGCGUGGGCGAGGGAGCGCCUCGGCGCGUAAAGCCCUUUCGGCGGGGGAGAACGAUGACGGUACCCGACGAAGAAGCACCGGCUAAAUACGUGCCAGCAGCCGCGGUAAUACGUAUGGUGCGAGCGUUGUCCGGAUUUACUGGGCGUGAAGGGGGCGCAGGCGGCGCGCCAAGCCCGAUGUGAAAGCCCGGGGCUCAACCCCGGGACUGCAUUGGGAACUGGCGGGGUGGGGUGCCGGGGGGG
rnacentral:rRNA from 1 species